CAGUCGCCGCGGGAAUACGAAGGGGGCUAGCGUUGUUCGGAAUUACUGGGCGUAAAGGGCGCGUAGGCGGCCAUUCAAGUUAGAUGUGAAAGCCCUGGGCUCAACCUAGGAAUUGCAUUUGAUACUGUUUGGCUUGAAUUCGGGAGAGGUGAGUGGAAUUCCCAGUGUAGAGGUGAAAUUCGUAGAUAUUGGGAAGAACACCAGUGGCGAAGGCGGCUCACUGGACCGACACUGACGCUGAGGCGCGAAAGCGUGGGGAGCAAACAGGAUUAGAUACCCGAGUAGUCCCUGUCUCUUAUAC
rnacentral:rRNA from 1 species